rnacentral:misc_RNA from 1 species
UUCCCUCCAUUGAAAACCUAACCACUCUAGAACUAUGUCAUUCUCAUCUCUUGGAGAAUUCAUCUUUAGUUCUUCAGUUUCUUCCCAAGUUAAAACAUCUCAAUCUAUAGUAUGCCUGCGAGGCAAAUUUCAUUGGUUAAAGAGUUUUGUUAUGCAAGUGGAUUUCCAAAGCUGGAAACUUUGAAGAUUGCUUCAAGCCAACUAGUGAAGUGGACAGAGAUUAUAAACGUGGCCUUUCCAAAUUUGAGGAGUCUUCAAUUUUGGCAUUGUCUUGAAUUGAGAUUUCUUCCAGAAGGUUUACAGAACAUUUCUACCAUUCAGGAGUUGUUUUUCGCUCACUUGCAUGGAGACCUAGAAAGGAGAUUG